rnacentral:tRNA from 1 species
CCUCACAGCUCAGUCGGUUAAGAAUCUGCCUGCAAUGCAGGAGACCCAGGUUCGAUUCCUGGGUCAGGA